rnacentral:tRNA from 1 species
AAUGAAGUGGCUGAAAUCAGAAAGUAUUAGACUGUAAAUCUAAAAGUGGGUAACACUACCCCUUCAUUA